GCAUCGUUUUGCUCAGUCUAUAUAAGUUAAAAAUAUAAAAAAAAUUCAUUUCGGACAGCUUUUUUUUUUAAAUUCUCUCCUUUUUUUCUCUCGUCUCUCUUUCUUCCGGCCAUAGGAUUCGGUGUGUCCUACGACGACCACCAGUUACCGGCGACAAGCUCUGUUAUUCCUAGUGGUCAAAAAAUGAAAAAAUGUCUCCCUUUUGGCCUUUUCGACUCCUUGAGUCCGAAUCAGGGGUUAACUUUCCCAAAAAAUUUCAAAAACAUUAAACCCCCCCCAAAAAAAACCCUUCGUUUUUUUGGGUUUUAGAAGCCCUUCCAACAUAAAGGAGUCAUCUUUCAUUGAAGAUGACAGACCUCAGCCACUCGCAGUGGCAAAACGCGAAUCGUCAGGUAAGUUUUCCCUCUUGUCUAUUUU
rnacentral:lncRNA from 1 species